GAUGUGUUGCAAAUGAGCUCUGUAGUAAUAAUACAAAAUAUAACAGAUUAAGUCAAGAUUUUCAUCAAUAUCGGUGGAUGACAUGUUUUAAUGGCGGAUUGAGUCACUUGAGACCACAGUUUUGCGAUGCGUGUUAAUUCCUGGCCUGCCUUUAAUAAACUGCUGCAGGCCUCAGGCACACAAUCUCAGAUCACACCAUUGACAUUUAACCGAAUGAGAGAGAGACGGAGGGAU